rfam:Myotis brandtii contig292130, whole genome shotgun sequence.
AGGCCUAGAGAGAGAAGCAGAGUCGGAUCAAUAGCCUCCAUGGCAGCUGUGGAUCAGCCCCUGCCUUUCUCUUUCUCUCCA